UACGGAGGGUGCAAGCGUUAUCCGGAUUCACUGGGUUUAAAGGGUGCGUAGGCGGGCAGGUAAGUCAGUGGUGAAAUCUCCGGGCUUAACCCGGAAACUGCCGUUGAUACUAUCUGUCUUGAAUAUCGUGGAGGUAAGCGGAAUAUGUCAUGUAGCGGUGAAAUGCUUAGAUAUGACAUAGAACACCAAUUGCGAAGGCAGCUUACUUCACGAUUAUUGACACUGAGGCACGAAAGCGUGGGGAGCAAACAGG
rnacentral:rRNA from 1 species